GCACAAGCGGUGGAGCAUGUGGUUAAUUUCGAUGAUACGCGAGGGAACCUUACCUGGGCUCAAAUGUAUGUUGACGAUUCUGAAAGGGAUACUUCUUCGGACAAUAUACAAGGUGCUGCAUGGUUGUCGUCAGCUCGUGCCGUGAGGUGUCGGGUUAAGUCCCAUAACGAGCGCAACCCCUAUCAUUAGUUGCCAUCAGGUCAAGCUGGGGACUCUAAUGAAACUGCCUACGCAAGUAGUGAGGAAGGUGGGGAUGACGUCAAGUCAUCAUGGCCCUUACGGCCUGGGCUACACACGUGCUACAAUGGUCGGUACAAAGGGUUGCCAAGCCGCGAGGUGGAGCUAAUCCCAUAAAACCGAUCGUAGUCCGGAUCGCAGUCUGCAACUCGACUGCGUGAAGUCGGAAUCGCUAGUAAUCGUGAAUCAGAAUGUCACGGUGAAUACGUUCCCGGGCCUU
rnacentral:rRNA from 1 species